rnacentral:rRNA from 1 species
UACAGAGGGGGCAAGCGUUGUCCGGAAUUAUUGGGCGUAAAGAGCUCGUAGGCGGUCUGUUGCGUCUGCUGUGAAAACUCGGGGCUUAACCCCGAGCCUGCAGUGGAUACGGGCAGACUAGAGGUAGGUAGGGGAGAAUGGAAUUCCCGGUGUAGCGGUGAAAUGCGCAGAUAUCGGGAGGAACACCGGUGGCGAAGGCGGUUCUCUGGGCCUUACCUGACGCUGAGGAGCGAAAGCGUGGGGAGCGAACAGG